UACGAAGGGGGCUAGCGUUGCUCGGAAUGACUGGGCGUAAAGGGCGCGUAGGCGGCUAGUACAGUCAGAUGUGAAAUUCCUGGGCUCAACCUGGGGACUGCAUUUGAUACGUGCUGGCUUGAGUGGAGGAGAGGGUCGUGGAAUUUCCAGUGUAGAGGUGAAAUUCGUAGAUAUUGGAAAGAACACCGGUGGCGAAGGCGGCGACCUGGCCUUUAACUGACGCUGAGGCGCGAAAGCGUGGGGAGCAAACAGG
rnacentral:rRNA from 1 species